rnacentral:lncRNA from 1 species
CUAGUAACAGCCUCAUACCCAGCUCACUUGGCAAGAGGCACUUGACGGUAAAAGACGUUUUGCUGUUAGCCCCCUAACAAGGGCUCUGGCUUCAGGAAACCCUGGAAUGAGAGCCUUUUCAGAUGCUACAGACAAUGGCUCAUCCCUCCUCCCCACUGCCUCUGGCCAUCUGCCAGGAGGUCCCCUAAAGUAAUUCAAAGUGGCCUAGGUCAGACCAGUCUAGGCCAGGCCAAAUCUCUGAGCCCUCACUGGGAAGAAUCCCAUCCCCUCCUCAUCAGCACAGGGGAAGAGGGACAUGUGAUGAAGAUUUGACCUUGGCAGAAAUAGAUUGAAGCUCCAGAGCAAGAUCCAGAAGAACCUCAAGAACUAGGGCCAGCUCCAAGGCUAGAGCCCGCUACAGCUCAGAGCCACAGAUUCAGAUUCACAGCCAGAGGAGGCUCAAGCCACUGCUCUCAUUGAACUUUAAGACCUAGAACAACCACCUACAUCAUCUCCGCAACUAGCCUCAGCUACUGAGCUGCAAGGAGUGCCCGCUACUGCCCCCGAGAAUCCCUUCCCCUCCCUUGUAAGAGCAUGGUUUCAACUAUUUGUUUUUAUCUUACUUUUACUUAAUGGUUUCCCAUAUUUUAUCUUAUAAUAUUCACUUAAAUUAAAUUUAACUCUUCUAUCCAUUUUAAUUGUACACUUAACUGUCAUGAAGUACACUCAAGAUGUUGUACAACCAUCCCCACGAUCUAGUUCAAGAACAUUUUCAUCACAGAGAAACCCUGUACCCAUGAAUCAGUCAGUCUUCCCUCCUCUCACCCCCAGUCCCUGAAAACCACUGAUCUUUUUUCUGAUUCCACUGAUUUAUCUCUUCUGGAUACUUCCCAUAAGUGGAAUCCUACAAUAUAUGGCCUUCUGUGUCUGGCUAUGUAAAGUAGGAGGAGAGUGAUGAAGAUUUUUUGGCUGUUUUCAGAAAAAUACCAGUUUUUAUUAAGAAGAAAAAUCCCUGAUAGAUCAAAGAUUUCAUAUAAAAAUGAAGCCUCGAUAUUAAACAUUUCAUCAUCUUGGGAUAGGGAUCAUUUUAUAAGUGUGAAAAAAGAGCUGGAAAGUAUAAGGCAAAUGUCUCGGGCAGUGAGACACCUUUCAAAUCUUUCAUUUCCUUUGAAAGGAGAUGGUUGCAUUUUUCUAAUGUAUAUAUUACAAAAGUAUUAAAAUCACACACUAAAUACUUCCAUUUAGUACUAACAUAUUAUGUAAUAAAGUGCAUUAUACAGUUUAAGGUUCGAGGCUAAUAAUUAAUGUACAUUUAGUAAAACAAUGAUUUUAAUAUGAAUAAGAAUGAAA